UCGUGAGAAAUAUAAACGCUCUAUACGAAAAUCCUGUUUACGGAUUUUAAAAUAUACGAGAUGAAUCUUUUUUUACUCAGUUGGAAUAAAGACGUGUGAGACGGUAGUUGAGUGAUGUGAGUUGUGCCGACGAUGCAUUUGACAAUCGCAAUGUGGAUGUUUUGUCUGCUCCUAUUGACACAUACCGCCCUGGCAUACGUUUUACCAAACAAUUCUGAGGAUAUAUCGAAUAGCACGCAGCAUUCAGAUGACUAUAUGAAAUACAGUUAUCUAAUAACAACAUAUUUGUAAUAUUUACUUUUAUGUGCUAAUUAGGGAACGCGGACCAAGCUUUUUAGAUUGCGAAGUGAAAUACGCAUCUCUGACGGACUCGUCAAGCAAUGUUACAAUUAUGCAUUUACAAACUGAUGGUUAUAUUAACUCUAUAGCAUUUUAUACAUAUUUACAAAUGAUGUCUUUUUGGACUAAAUAACUAUACGAAAUAAUUAGUUAUUUCAGUGAUAAAGCAAUAAUUUUUAUACAAAUAGCUUUAAGAUAAAUAAAUAAAAUAUGUUUAUGUA